AAAAAAGGUGUCUUUUGUUUUACUUUUGGAGUUAUUAAGAUAUGGCAAUGACCAAAACCUUAUCUAUGAUCUCAAGAACAGGAAGAGACUUGCAGAGAUACAAUGAUGGAUGUCGUCAAGUUGUUGGAUGCAUUCCGUACAGAUAUAGAAAAACCAAUCAAUCAUCUACAGUUCAAGGGACCCAAAUUGAUGAUUUGGAAUUCUUAUUGAUCAGCUCACAGAAGAGUCCAAAGUGGAUGUUCCCUAAGGGUGGUUGGGAAACUGAUGAGGCAUUAGAAGAUGCUGCUUUAAGAGAGACUUUUGAGGAAUCUGGUGUAGUUGGUGAUGUUGGGGUUCAGGAGUAUUUAGGUACUUGGAGUUUUAAGAGCAAAAGUCAAGGGACAUUUCAUGAGGGGCAUAUGUUUCCUUUACUUGUCACAGAAGAACUAGAAGAUUGGCCUGAGAAAACUGUCCGAAAACGUCUAUGGUUGAAAUUUAGUGAAGCAAGAGAAGUAUGUUGGCAUUCCUGGAUGAAGGAAGCUUUAGAUGUCUUUGCCUCUAAGCUCACAAAGAGAAAUAAAGACGAUGAGCCUCAGACAUGCCCUUUCGAUGAAUUGUGCUAUGAACAGACAGUUGCUACUGUAUCUAACUCUAACACAAUGUUUUAUGAAGAACCAAUAAUCAGCAUUGAAGCUAAUGACUUGACCUGUGAGGAGGAGCUGAGACUUAGCCUUGUAGCUAAGCCUUCUCUAGGUAAGCUCAUGUUCAAUGAAGAUGCAAGGCGAAAGCCGUUUUCCAAUGAAAUUAGUAAUGUAGCCUACUCAAUGUUCAGUGAAGAAGCAACCAUGAGCACCAAAGCCCAGAAGAUGUUCAAUGAAAAAUUGGGAAGAAUAAGCAUUGCUGCUUUCAGCUAGCAAACAAAUGAUGGAAGAAACUUCAAGACUUCUAAAAACCGAGAAUGAGGAACCAGGUUCGCCUAUCCUGUAGAAUUCUCGACGAGCUGGAAGCCAAGAAUGAGCAUAAUGUAAUGGAGAAAGAAAGAAAGAACCUUGGAACGCCGUCGACAGAAAUUUUGAUGACUAUAAAUAUGCUGGACUUGGCAUUGUUACCUACAAUCUGCAAAGAAAGGACAAUAAUCUAUCGAUGCAGUUACAGGCAGCAGUAUUAUGGACCAGAGAAAAGAACCUUUCAAAUCCCUGCCUGAUACGAUUCUGUAUAUUGUCCCUUUAACCCGAGAAGAAGUUUGAGUUAACCUUGCUUUAGAUGAUUCAAAGAGAAACUAAUCCAGUUUCUCAAAGGCAUAACACAUACAUAGACACUCAAGUUUGGCCUCGAUUGGCAAGUAGACAAUCCAAUUUUGGGAGUGGACACACGAUGAUGCUGACUUGACACAUAAAUUUUGGAUGCGUCCAGAUGAUUAUUUCUUUAAGCUGAGUGUUCAACUGACACAAUGGAGACGAGUUGAAAUUAGUAGAUGUGCAUCGUCCUUGGAGCGUUUUGUCAGUUGAGACCAAGUUUGAGUGUCUAUCUUUAUAUUAUAUACCUUUCUCAAACACCAGAUAUGGUUAAUCGCAUAAGUUUCUAACAUCAUUCUUUAAUUCUUUUUUGUUGUUACAAGGUGU
rnacentral:misc_RNA from 1 species